rnacentral:rRNA from 1 species
GAUGAACGCUGGCGGCGUGCCUAAUACAUGCAAGUCGAACGAAACUUCUUUAUCACCGAGUGCUUGCACUCACCGAUAAAGAGUUGAGUGGCGAACGGGUGAGUAACACGUGGGCAACCUGCCCAAAAGAGGGGGAUAACACUUGGAAACAGGUGCUAAUACCGCAUAACCAUAGUUACCGCAUGGUAACUAUGUAAAAGGUGGCUAUACUACCGCUUUUGGAUGGGCCCGCGGCGCAUUAGCUAGUUGGUAGGGUAAAGGCUUACCAAGGCAAUGAUGCGUAGCCGAAUUGAGAGGUUGAUCGGCCACAUUGGGACUGAGACACGGCCCAAACUCCUACGGGAGGCAGCAGUAGGGAAUCUACCACAAUGGGCGAAAGCCUGAUGGAGCAACGCCGCGUGGGUGAAGAAGGUCUUCGGAUCGUAAAACCCUGUUGUUAGAGAAGAAAGUGCGUGAGAGUAACUGUUCACGUUUCGACGGUAUCUAACCAGAAAGCCACUGCUAACUACGUG